UUAAAUUACUAGUUUAAUGUUAUAAAUCUUCCCACUUCAUCUUCUUGAUUGUUGUUAUUUCAAAGUGUUAUCAAAUUAUGUUGUGGCUGAGUAAGUGGAGUUGGUGGCAGGUGUACAUAUGCAAAGAGGCAGCAUUUGCUGCGGUUUGUGUAGAUGUCAAGUAUCUGCGGACCAACGAUUCAUCUAGAAGUGUAUCCCCUACUACUGAAGAGACCUUGAAUCACCUCGGCUGCAGUGUGAUUCUUCUCUUCAAUUUCUACAGUCUCUGUGUCAGCAAAAGUUAUUUCGGGAAUGCAUUGUUAACAAACAGGUUAUUUAUAAGUCAAUUUGAGUCCCGAAUCGUUCGUGCUGCAUCAGAAGAUAAUUUAUUCCAUGAGCUUGGGAAGCGGUGGAUUGCAGGAGCAACUAGCUUCCUGUGUUGGACUCGGCCCUGAUGAAAAAAGGAGUAGCUCUACUUCUCAUCUUUGUAGUCGUCAAAAUCAUGGUCUUUGAGGAUUCUGAAACCGUGGGCCAUGGAAGCUGGUUGGGCACUCAAUUAGUGUCAAGUAAAGAUACUUUCUAUGAGGAAUGGAAACUGCAGCUUGUUGCCACUAUGUACAAUAUAUGGAAUCUAGACUAUUUCGAUUUCUGUAUAUUUGGUCAAGUUCCUCAACAAUUUAAUUUAACUUAACAUCUCUUAUAUGCCAGUUCAGUAGUUUGUACAUAGUCUACUGUGUUUGAGUUUGUUUUCUUUACCUGUCCGUUUGAUGAUUAUGAUUGAUACAACAAAUUUUGGUUUACUGAGUGAACAUAAGAACAAAUUAAUAGUGUUGUAAUAUACUAUUCAACUUAACUAUGAAUUGUAAUGCUACCCCGUUCUAAAAUUUUCAGCUUGCCUGUAAUGUUUAUCCUUUGUGAAUGUUUCUGCUUCAGGAUCAGUCAAUAAGCAUCAACUUGUGACUCACCAUAUGCUGUGUAUUGCUCUACGAGCUGCUUUAGAUGCUUUAGGGAAGCUUGCAAAUUCAAGUGUUUGUUCCUUCCUAGGUUAUUGGUUAAUGUUAUUAUUGUGAAUUUCAGUCUAACCUUGGAUUUAUGACAUUCCAAUGUUUUCCUUCGGGAGAAAGGCAUUAGAGCAGUUUCUGGACCAUCUCAUUCAGUAUCACUGCUCUUUUUUGACCACCUCACUAUUUAUUCCA